CCCAGACUCCUACGGGAGGCAGCAGUGGGGAAUAUUGCACAAUGGGGGAAACCCUGAUGCAGCGACGCCGCGUGAGUGAAGAAGUAUUUCGGUACGUAAAGCUCUAUCAGCAGGGAAGAAAAACCGGCCUUAGGGCCGCCAGACGGUACCUGACUAAGAAGCCCCGGCUAACUACGUGCCAGCAGCCGCGGUAAUACGUAGGGAGCGAGCGUUGUCCGGAAUUACUGGGUGUAAGGGGAGCGUAGGCGGGACUGCAAGUUGGGUGUCAAAUCUACCGGCUCAACCGGUAGCCGCACUCAAAACUGCGGUUCUUGAGUGAAGUAGAGGCAGGCGGAAUUCCUAGUGUAGCGGUGAAAUGCGUAGAUAUUAGGAGGAACACCAGUGGCGAAGGCGGUCUGCUGGACAGCAACUGACGCUGAGGCGCGAAAGCGUGGGGAGCAAACAGGAUUAGAUACCCUAGUAA
rnacentral:rRNA from 1 species